rnacentral:rRNA from 1 species
GACGAACGCUGGCGGCGUGCUUAACACAUGCAAGUCGAACGGAAAUGCCCUGCUUUUGUGGGGUGCUCGAGUGGCUAAAGGGUGAGUAACACGUGAGGAACCUGGGCGUGACUUUGGGAUAACUUCAGGCAACUGGGGCUAAUACCGGAUAGGAGCUCCUGCUGCAUGGUGGGGGUUGGAAAGUUUCGGCGGUUGGGGAUGUACUCGCGGCUUAUCAGCUUGUUGGUGGGGUGGUGGCUUACCAAGUCUUUGACGGGUAGCCGGCCUGAGUGGGUGACCGGCCACAUUGGGACUGAGAUACGGCCCAGACUCCUACGGGAGGCAGCAGUGGGGAAUAUUGCACAAUGGGCGGAAGCCUGAUGCAGCAACGCCGCGUGCGGGAUGACGGCCUUCGGGUUGUAAACCGAUUUCGCCUGUGACGAAGCGUGAGUGACGGUAAUGGGUAAAGAAGCACCGGCUAACUACGUG